UACGGGGGGGGCAGGCGUUGUUCGGAAUUACUGGGCGUAAAGGGCUCGUAGGCGGCCAACUAAGUCAGACGUGAAAUCCCUCGGCUUAACCGGGGAACUGCGUCUGAUACUGGAUGGCUUGAGUGUGGGAGAGGGAUGCGGAAUUCCAGGUGUAGCGGUGAAAUGCGUAGAUAUCUGGAGGAACACCGGUGGCGAAGGCGGCAUCCUGGACCACGACUGACGCUGAGUGAGCGAAAGCCAGGGGAGCAAACGGG
rnacentral:rRNA from 1 species